AUCACGUCAGCGCCGACGCUCGUGUAAAGGAAAUCGUUGCCAAGGCGUCCGUCGAGGGUGUUGGCGCCUGCGUUGCCGAUGAGCGUGUUGGUGUGAUCGCUCCCGAAGAGACUAAUGGCAGCGGUGCCCGCCGCAUCGCUGGUCAUCAGGACUUCGAUCUCCGCCAACUGCUGGUGCAGACGGUAAGUGGCACUGGCAACUACGGUAUCGCUGCCUUCGCCCGCAUAGUCGCGCACCUGGUCGAGGUCGCUGUCGACAUGGUACCAAUCAUUGCCGACGCCGCCGAACAGACGAUCCGCGCCAAGAAAGCCGUAGAGAUCAUCGUGGCCGACACCGCCAUACAGAUCGUUGUUGCCGUUGUCGCCGCGAAGAUCGUCGUCGAAGGACGAACCGACAAGGG
rnacentral:misc_RNA from 1 species